AACGUAGGAGGCGAGCGUUAUCCGGAGUUACUGGGCGUAAAGCGCGUGUAGGUGGUCUGUUACGUCUGCUGUGAAAUGUCCCGGCUUAACCGGGAGGGUGCGGUAGAUACGGGCAGACUAGAGGGUGACAGAGGAGCGUAGAAUUCCGGGUGUAGUGGUGAAAUGCGUAGAUAUCUGGAGGAACACCGGUGGCGAAGGCGGCAUCCUGGACCAACACUGACGCUGAGGAGCGAAAGCCAGGGGAGCAAACGGG
rnacentral:rRNA from 1 species